GACGAACGCUGGCGGCGUGCCUAAUACAUGCAAGUAGGACGCAGUUGCGAACGGGUGAGUAACGCGUAGGUAACUACCUAUUAGAGGGGGAUAACUAUUGGAAACGAUAGCUAAUACCGCAUACUAGUAGAUGGACCUGCGUUGUAUUAGCUAGUAGGUAGGGUAAUGGCCUACCUAGGCAACGAUACAUAACCGACAGGAGGGGGUGACCGGCACAACUGGGACUGAGACACGGCCAAGCCCCCUACGGGAGGCAGCAGUAGGGAAUCUUCGGCAAGGGGGGGAACCCGGAACGAGCAACGCCGCGUGAGUGAAGAAGGGUUUCGGAUCGUAAAGCUCUGUUGUUAAGGAAGCGGUACUUAACCAGAAAGGGACGGCUAACUUCGGGCCAGCAGCGGCGGUAAUUC
rnacentral:rRNA from 1 species